GCUUAACACAUGCAAGUCGAGGGGCAGCAUGGUCUCAUUUUGCUAAGACUGAUGGCGACCGGCGCACGGGUGAGUAACACGUAUCCAACCUGCCGUCUACUCUUGGACAGCCUUCUGAAAGGAAGAUUAAUACAAGAUGGCAUCAUGAGUCCGCAUGUUCACAUGAUUCAAGGUAUUCCGGUAGACGAUGGGGAUGCGUUCCAUUAGAUAGUAGGCGGGGUAACGGCCCACCUAGUCUUCGAUGGAUAGGGGUUCUGAGAGGAAGGUCCCCCACAUUGGAACUGAGACACGGUCCAAACUCCUACGGGAGGCAGCAGUGAGGAAUAUUGGUCAAUGGGCGAGAGCCUGAACCAGCCAAGUAGCGUGAAGGAUGACUGCCCUAUGGGUUGUAAACUUCUUUUAUAAAGGAAUAAAGUCGGGUAUGCAUACCCGUUUGCAUGUACUUUAUGAAUAAGGAUCGGCUAACUCCGUGCCAGCAGCCGCGGUAAUACGGAGGAUCCGAGCGUUAUCCGGAUUUAUUGGGUUUAAAGGGAGCGUAGAUGGAUGUUUAAGUCAGUUGUGAAAGUUUGCGGCUCAACCGUAAAAUUGCAGUUGAUACUGGAUAUCUUGAGUGCAGUUGAGGCAGGCGGAAUUCGUGGUGUAGCGGUGAAAUGCUUAGAUAUCACGAAGAACUCCGAUUGCGAAGGCAGCCUGCUAAGCUGCAACUGACAUUGAGGCUCGAAAGUGUGGGUAUCAAACAGGAUUAGAUACCCUGGUAGUCCACACGGUAAACGAUGAAUACUCGCUGUUUGCGAUAUACUGCAAGCGGCCAAGCGAAAGCGUUAAGUAUUCCACCUGGGGAGUACGCCGGUAACGGUGAAACUCAAAGGAAUUGACGGGGGCCCGCACAAGCGGAGGAACAUGUGGUUUAAUUCGAUGAUACGCGAGGAACCUUACCCGGGCUUAAAUUGCAGAUGAAUUACGGUGAAAGCCGUAAGCCGCAAGGCAUCUGUGAAGGUGCUGCAUGGUUGUCGUCAGCUCGUGCCGUGAGGUGUCGGCUUAAGUGCCAUAACGAGCGCAACCCUUGUUGUCAGUUACUAACAGGUUCCGCUGAGGACUCUGACAAGACUGCCAUCGUAAGAUGUGAGGAAGGUGGGGAUGACGUCAAAUCAGCACGGCCCUUACGUCCGGGGCUACACACGUGUUACAAUGGGGGGUACAGAGGGCCGCUACCACGCGAGUGGAUGCCAAUCCCCAAAACCUCUCUCAGUUCGGACUGGAGUCUGCAACCCGACUCCACGAAGCUGGAUUCGCUAGUAAUCGCGCAUCAGCCACGGCGCGGUGAAUACGUUCCCGGGCCUUGUACACACCGCCCGUCAAGCCAUGGGAGCCGGGGGUACCUGAAGUGCGUAACCGCGAGGAGCGCCCUAGGGUAAAACUGGUGA
rnacentral:rRNA from 1 species